rnacentral:sRNA from 1 species
AGCCUUUGAUCACCUUGGAGGGAAGCAUAUCCUUCAGAUUUACUUCGGAAGGAAUGAAUACCAUCACAGUGCAGGUCUCAGCUGGGAAUGCCAUCCUACAAGAUACAAAGACCAUCGCAGUAUAUGAGGAAUUCCGGUCUCUUCGCUUGUCCUUUUCUCCAAACCUGGAUGACUACAACCCGGACAUCCCUGAGUGGAGGAGGGACAUCGGCCGAGUCAUCAAAAAAUCCCUGGUGGAAGCCACAGGGGUUCCAGGCCAGCACAUCCUGGUGGCGGUGCUCCCUGGCUUACCCACCACUGCUGAACUCUUUGUCCUACCCUAUCAGGAUCCAGCUGGAGAAAACAAAAGGUCAACUGAUGACCUGGAGCAGCUCCAUGUUCCUUUCCAUGAAGAUGCCAGCACUGACACCUAAGAUGUGUUCUGCUAGAAAAGAUAGUAAGAAACAAGCAACUUUACCAAAAUAGUGUUCACAGCAUAUAUAAUGUCCUUUAGAAUAUAUGUAACAACUUGUAAUCUUUUGAAAAAAUACAGGAUAAACACUUCUACAAGUGGUGUGGAAAACAUCUAAAAUAUUGUCAAAAUCUGUCAACAGUUUCAUACUCAUUUCAGUAGAAAAGCACAUGGUUCUAAUUGAGAUUAUUCUUAUAUGCAAUGUAAAUUUUAUUUAGUUUUGUUUUCUUAUGCAAAUUUUUUCUCACAAAGCAUGUGUUCAUUGUUGAAUGUCCUUUGAUGCAAGUUAAAUAUAUGAAACAUACUUUCUGUUACCAGAUAAUUUUUAAAUUUCCUUCUUAAAAUUUUGUAAGUGACACAGAUAGAGCC